AGAACGAACGCUGGCGGCAUGCCUAAUACAUGCAAGUCGAACGAACACUUCGGUGUUAGUGGCGCACGGGUGCGUAACGCGUGGGAAUCUGCCCUUGGGUUCGGAAUAACAGUUGGAAACGACUGCUAAUACCGGAUGAUGACGAAAGUCCAAAGAUUUAUCGCCCAGGGAUGAGCCCGCGUAGGAUUAGCUAGUUGGUGAGGUAAAGGCUCACCAAGGCGACGAUCCUUAGCUGGUCUGAGAGGAUGAUCAGCCACACUGGGACUGAGACACGGCCCAGACUCCUACGGGAGGCAGCAGUAGGGAAUAUUGGACAAUGGGCGCAAGCCUGAUCCAGCAAUGCCGCGUGAGUGAUGAAGGCCUUAGGGUUGUAAAGCUCUUUACCCGAGAUGAUAAUGACAGUAUCGGAGAAUAAGCCCCGGACUAACUCCGCGCCAGCACGCCGAC
rnacentral:rRNA from 1 species